CCUACGGGAGGCAGCAGUGAGGAAUAUUGGUCAAUGGACGAGAGUCUGAACCAGCGAAGUAGCGUGACGGAUGACUGCCCUAUGGGUUGUAAACUUCUUUUAUAUGGGAAUAAAAUGUUCCACGUGUGGGAUUUUGUAUGUACCAUAUGAAUAAGGUUCGGCUAACUCCGUGCCAGCAGCCGCGGUAAUACGGAGGAUCCGAGCGUUAUCCGGAUUUAUUGGGUGUAAAGGGAGCGUAGGUGGUUUGUUAAGUCAGUUGUGAAAGUUUGCGGCUCAACCGUAAAAUUGCAGUUGAAACUGGCAGACUUGAGUACAGUAGAGGUGGGCGGAAUUCGUGGUGUAGCAGUGAAAUGCUUAGAUAUCACGAAGAACUCCGAUUGCGAAGGCAGCUCACUGGACUGCAACUGACACUGAGGCUCGAAAGUGUGGGUAUCAAACAGGAUUAGAUACCCGGGUAGUC
rnacentral:rRNA from 1 species